rnacentral:rRNA from 1 species
GACGAACGCUGGCGGCGUGCCUAAUACAUGCAAGUCGAACGCAGUGGGGACGGGUGCGUAACACGUGGGUAACCUACCAUCAGAGGGGAUAACCCUUGGCAACAGGUGCUAAACCGAUACUGAUGGAUGGACCCGCUGUGCAUGAGCUAGUUGGUGAGGUAACGGCUCCCCAGGGCCACGAGGAAUAGCCGACCUGAGAGGGUGAUCAGACACACGGGGACUGAGACACGGCCCAGACUCCUACGGGAGGCAGCAGUGGGGAAUCUUCGGCAAUGGACGAAAGUCUGACCGAGCAACGCCGCGUGAGUGAAGAAGGUUUUCGGAUCGUAAAACUCUGUUGUUAGAGAAGCGGUAUCUAACCAGAAAGCCACGGCUAACUUCGUGCCAGCAGCCGCGGUAAUAC